UACGUAGGGUCCGAGCGUUGUCCGGAAUUAUUGGGCGUAAAGAGCUCGUAGGCGGUCUGUCACGUCGGCUGUGAAAACACGGGGCUCAACCCCGUGCCUGCAGUCGAUACGGGCAGACUAGAGUUCGGUAGGGGAGACUGGAAUUCCUGGUGUAGCGGUGAAAUGCGCAGAUAUCAGGAGGAACACCGGUGGCGAAGGCGGCGAUCUGGGUCGAUACUGACGCUGAGGUGCGAAAGCGUGGGGAGCAAACAGG
rnacentral:rRNA from 1 species